rnacentral:misc_RNA from 1 species
CGCGUGCACCUUUCGUUCUCUCUCGCCUUUGCUGUGCGGUGGCCGAAGAAAGCGAGUAUUCGAGCGCACCUUCUCCUCGAGCGCGUUACCGCGGUGCCUCUCAAGCGAUCACACUCCGCGCCUUCUGCAGCUUUUCUCGCCUCGCCUUCCUGCCUAGCUGGCCAUAUGCUGAGGCGCACAUUGUCUCCCGUGCAGGUUAGCGAGGCCCAUGAGCGCUCCACCACCGCGCACCUGACCUCUUUGCCACACGGCGUGGAGGAAAGCGCUGUUCCCAUCAAUGCCACAGACGAUGGUCGUCGUGACCGCUGCGCUUUCCUCGAAACCGGCGAGAGCGCCGAUGCACAUGCUCCGCCGUGUGCGAGUGCCCAGGAGUCUGCCUGUGACAGCUGCCGCUUUUCAUCCGUUGCCUCUGCUUCCUUGGCCUCCCCGGAUGCGGUGCCGCAGGUGAGUGCGCUUGCGCCUGCCCCCGUGCCGUGCCUCCAGGCGCCGCCUUCGUGCGCCUUCGUUGAUGUGCCACCCUCUGCCAUGCCGGCGCGGAGGCUUAAAAACGUGUACGACGGAGCCAUGCCCCUGCCGCCCGGCACGACGAAACGAGCGCUCGGCCGGCUGCGCAUUGUGUGGUGCUGCGUGGUGACCGCCAAGAGCUGGCACUCCCUUUUCGUCGGCUUGCCGAUUCUGUUCUUCACGACCCUCUUCGUUACGGUCGUCGUGCCGCGCGGGGAGUGGUUCACUUACGUCUUCACGGCCCUCUUCACCACUAUAUCAGUCACGUGCCUGACACUGUCGGUCACCCUCGACCCCGGUGUCAUCCCGCCAGCCCCGCAGUCGCAGCAGCCAACGCAGUCGACAACCGUCAUGGUUGGCGGGCAGCCUGUGCUGUGCAAGGUGUGCACAACGUGCCACAUCAUUCGGCCACCACGCAGUACACACUGCCGGUUCUGCGACGUCUGCGUGGAGGAGUUUGACCACCACUGCGGUAUCAUCGGCAGCUGCGUGGGAAAGCGGACGUUCCGUUUUUUCGGCGGCUUCUUUGUCAUUACGAGUUUCCUCGUGCUCUAUAUCCUUAUUCGUUCCUUUAUCAUCCUCGUAUCGACGGACUUCAAGCCAGCGAACGAGCGGCCGCACUUGAUCUGGCUGGCUGUCUCGUGCACCCUCUGCAUUGUUGCCGCGAUCAUAGGUGCAAUUCUGGUGAUGCCGUGUGCCGGUCGCUACAUUAUGCUAAGCGCCUCCAAUUCCACCGUGAAGGAGACGAUGCGCACCCAGCGGCAGCAGACGAAGUCGGGGGAGCAGCCACCUGGUGUCGUUCCUGUCGCGGAGACGAAGAGCGGCAACUACUGUGCCAAUCUUCGCCGCCUGUUUAGCCCCAUCGGACGCAGCCGCAUCCCUUACGACUACUAUGUAUAGUCGAUGGCGUUCCUUGAGGAAAGGAUUCACACGGACAUACGAGGACGACGGUGUGUGCGUGUGUGUGUGUGUGGAGCUUGCGUGCACAGAGCAGCUUUCUCUGUCAUCGCGUGCUUCUACUGCUGCCGCUGCUUCGUGCUCCUUUUUUUUUAUCUCCCCUUUCCUUUUGUUCUUGUCGACAGUCCCCGCCAUGUGAUCUGCCUGUGUGUGGUGGUGUGACCCAUGUGUAUGGUUGGUGCAGAUGGUGGUUGCUCUUGCCGGUCUCGAUCACUUGAAG